rnacentral:rRNA from 1 species
CAUGUAGGCGGAUUGAUAAGUUUGAAGUGAAAUCCUAUAGCUUAACUAUAGAACUGCUUUGAAAACUGUUAAUCUAGAAUGUGGGAGAGGUAGAUGGAAUUUCUGGUGUAGGGGUAAAAUCCGUAGAGAUCAGAAGGAAUACCGAUUGCGAAGGCGAUCUACUGGAACAUUAUUGACGCUGAGAUGCGAAAGCGUGGGGGAGCAAACA